ACAGAAGCACAAAGAAAAGUCUUCUGAUACGAAAAUUCAACGCCGUGUUUGAUUACAAAGAUGCCCACUUUUUUUUUUUUUUUUUUAAAGUUAUCAAAUUGCAUUUUGUAGACGACCCAUUUUAUAAUCUAGACUGGUCAUUUGUUUGAUCUAUUCGCCAUUUUUUUUAAUCUCCAUAUCUGCUAUAGACUCCUGUGCUUCGUUAAUAUUGGAUGCUAAAACUGCUAUUUGUUUUAUCGAUUUGUGUUGCAGCAAAGCUCGAUUCCUGGUUACUUGGUAUGGAGUAAAAUCAGCUUUGAAUGCUUCAAUCUCUGUUUGAACACUGAUUUUGAGGAUUGAACUUGUGGGAUGAUUGAGCAAAAGCAUGAAUAUGUGAUGGCUGAUGAAUAGCCACAAGUAGAUUUUUCGUGGAAACAAUAGUGACCAUGGAAGUCAUGUGUUCACUUGCUGACCCACAGGAAAGAUUGGAAUCAAAAGAAAACAACCUAUAUAACAGCAAAGAUAGGGCACGCUUCAAAAAUCAGGUGUACAUAUAAAUGUACAUGACAUUUGAGGAUUGGAUAUUUCAUUGCCGUUGAAUUUGGUGUUUCUAUAAGUGAUUAUAUUCAGAACUAACUUAAAAUUGUAUCAUUCAUGAUCCAUUCUCAUUACUGGUUAAUUAACAAGUUCAGACAUUAAUUUUUCCAGUAAAUUUGAAUGGAAAUUUUAGUUCUUCCUUCCCCUUUUUUCUUUCUUUCCUUAUUGGUCAGGACUAUGCUGCCAUGCCACCGAUAUUUGAGCUGUGAGUUAUCAUUCUAUCUGCUUUAGUACAUUGCUCACUUUUCAUAGUUAGAUGAGGUAGAAUCUCUUUGUUGUUUCAUGUGCUAAGAAUACAACAGCUGUAUGUACAAUCUUAUAUGUAAUAUCUAAGCCAAGUUGAUCACUUGAUUGGUUAAAUGGGAUUUCGUAUGUUUUCCCUUUCCAUGAGAUUCAGUGAUGUAUCGUAGACAUGGUGGCCAAGUUAUAGAAGUUUAACCGGUCACUUCUGUCAAACUGUUGUAUAGAAUAUUAUCUGCAUGGUAUCUGAUUACUGGAAUUCUGGCUGAUUGACAUCCU